GAGGAUAUAGCUCAGUGGUAGAGUACACGCUUAGCAUGCACAAGGUCCUGGAUUCAAUCCCCAGUAUCUGCA
rnacentral:tRNA from 1 species